GACGAACGCUGGCGGCAUGCCUAACACAUGCAAGUCGAACGGAGAUUACUUCGGUAAUCUUAGUGGCGAGCGGGUGAGUAACGCGUAGGCAACCUGCCCUCUAGAUGGGGACAACAUCCCGAAAGGGGUGCUAAUACCGAAUGUGCUCGCCGGACACCAGUCCGGCGCGUAAAGGAAGCUUCGGCCUCCGUAUCGGGAGGGGCCCGCGGCCCAUUAGCUUGUUGGUGAGGUAACGGCUCACCAAGGCAACGAUGGGUAGCUGGUCUGAGAGGGCGAUCAGCCACACUGGGACUGAGACACGGCCCAGACUCCUACGGGAGGCAGCAGUGGGGAAUCUCGCGCAAUGCGCGAAAGCGUGACGCAGCAACGCCGCGUGGGGGAAGAAGGCCUUCGGGUUGUAAACCCCUUUCAGGAGGGACGAAGGUUCGGCGGUGAAUAGCCGUCCGGACUGACGGUACCUCCACAAGAAGCCCCGGCUAACUACGUGCCAGCCGCCGCUGUAAGAC
rnacentral:rRNA from 1 species